rnacentral:lncRNA from 1 species
AAUCAGGCACUCUUGAAGAAGAUAGCAUAAAUAAAUUCUUUUAUAUUUUUAUAGAUGAGAAAAAAGGAAUAAAAAGUCAUUAUUGUUAUUAGACACACUUUGUUUGGUAGUGUGCUAGUAUUUGCUCCUUAGUGUGUAGGAGCUAAAAGGCAUGCAGUUCGCAUAAGCAGUUGAAACUCGUCAAUCAAAACUGGAGCCAUAUAAAUUCCAAUAAAAAGGUAAAAACAACAAAAGCAAGGCUGAUCAUUUAGGUGAAAAUGGGGAAAAGUUGAGUAUGAUUUACAAGGACAAAUGAGUUAAAUAAUAUUAGGAUGCAUGUUAGACGUAGCUAUUAUAGAAGAUCGAAGAACAUAAUCAUGUGAUUAGGAGAGUAAUGCCAGUUGUUGGAGGAAUCUUUGCUUCAAAUUCAAAGGACACUGCACUCUACCAAUUUGUUGCUCUGGCCCAUAAAUAUAUGCAAUGCUCAUUUACAUGUGAUGAGGCCGGACCGAUUGGCCCAGGCCUACCAUUCAACUCUUGAAAGACGUGCUGCUGGCUCGUCUCCGUCCAGCUUUCCUUCAAUUUAGUGUUCUUUCUUUCUUUCUUUCUUUCUUUCUUUUUUUUCUUCCAAAUCUAUUAGGUAAGCUUGCUUGGGUUGGGGUUAUAAAGAAAAGUAUCAGAUGAUUGUGUAAGCAUAUAUUGCAACCUCUCAAUUGUAAGAACAAAAAUAAAAAUGAUGACACUUAGAGUAGGCCCCCUAGCACAAGAACAAAUCCAGCAAAUCAAUCAUCUGUUCUUCUCUUAAUCCAAAAAAAGCGAAGACCAUUUCUCCAUUUUUCUCGUACUUUAUAAUAAUGGAAGCAAAAAGACUUUAAGGAGGAAGUUUCCGAAUCGUCGAAAGCCAACCAUUAAUGGGUGAGAAGAUGAGGAGGCGCUUAUAGGCUAUUAAAUGCAACCCAAGAAAACACCAAGUUUGCUUUCCGCUUUCGCACCCAAAUUGCCUGGCAUUUGGGCCACUUUCUAUGCAGGUUGUGUUUUGUAGAAAU